AAUCAACGCUGGCGGCGCGCUUAACACAUGCAAGUCGAACGAGAAAGCCGGAGCAAUCUGGUGAGUAAAGUGGCGUACGGGUGAGUAACACGUGGAUCAUCUACCUCUUAGUGGGGGAUAACCCUGGGAAACCGGGGCUAAUACCGCAUAAUCCUGUGAAGGGAAAGCAGCAAUGCGCUGAGAGAGGAGUCCGCGGCCGAUUAGCUAGUUGGUAGGGUAAUGGCCUACCAAGGCAAUGAUCGGUAGCCGGCCUGAGAGGGCACACGGCCACACUGGCACUGAAACACGGGCCAGACUCCUACGGGAGGCAGCAGUGGGGAAUCUUGCACAAUGGGGGCAACCCUGAUGCAGCGACGCCGCGUGAGCGAUGAAGCCCUUCGGGGUGUAAAGCUCUUUCGGCAGGGACGAUAAUGACGGUACCUGAAGAAGAAGCUGCGGCUAACUACGUGCCAGCAGCCGCCGU
rnacentral:rRNA from 1 species